rnacentral:rRNA from 1 species
AGAGUUUGAUCCUGGCUCAGGAUGAACGCUAGCUACAGGCUUAACACAUGCAAGUCGAGGGGCAGCAUUUUAGUUUGCUUGCAAACUAAAGAUGGCGACCGGCGCACGGGUGAGUAACACGUAUCCAACCUGCCGAUAACUCGGGGAUAGCCUUUCGAAAGAAAGAUUAAUAUCCGAUAGUAUAUUAAAACCGCAUGGUUUUACUAUUAAAGAAUUUCGGUUAUCGAUGGGGAUGCGUCUGAUUAGCUUGUUGGCGGGGUAACGGCCCACCAAGGCAACGAUCAGUAGGGGUUCUGAGAGGAAGGUCCCCCACAUUGGAACUGAGACACGGUCCAAACUCCUACGGGAGGCAGCA